AUUGAACGCUGGCGGCGUGCUUAACACAUGCAAGUCGAUCGGUAACGCGGGGCAACCCUGGCGACGAGAGGCGGACGGGUGAGGAACGCUUGGGAAUCUGCCUAUCAGCGGGGGACAACACGGGGAAACUCGUGCUAAUACCGCAUACGCUCUACGGAGGAAAGCCGGGGACCGCAAGGCCUGGCACUGAUAGAUGAGCCCAAGCCGGAUUAGCUAGUUGGCGGGGUAACGGCCCACCAAGGCGACGAUCCGUAGCUGGUCUGAGAGGACGAUCAGCCACACUGGAACUGAGACACGGUCCAGACUCCUACGGGAGGCAGCAGUGGGGAAUAUUGGACAAUGGGGGAAACCCUGAUCCAGCGACGCCGCGUGGGUGAAGAAGGCCUGCGGGUUGUAAAGCCCUUUCGGUAGGGACGAAAGCUCUCGGCCUAACACGUCGGGAGGUUGACUUAACCUACAAAAGAAGCACCGGCUAACUCUGUGCCAGCAGCCGCAGUAAAAC
rnacentral:rRNA from 1 species